AUCCAAUCCUGAUUCAGGGAGGUAGUGAAAAGAAAUAAUGAACUAGGAUUUUAUCCUGGGAUCACAAUGGGCUUGAUUUGCAAACACUUAGCGAGGAACAAUUGGAGGGCAAGUCUGGUGCCAGCAGCCGCGGUAAUUCCAGCUCCAAUAGAGUAUAUAAACGUUCCUGCAGUUUUUCGAUGCUCGUAGUUGGAUUUCUGAGGUUGAGACGGGAGGGUGGCUAUGGCCAUCGCCCGACUCUUUCCUCAUCCACCUGUUUUGCGAAGUCCGGGAUUGAUUUCUCGGCUUCGGGCGCAGUAUCUUACCAUUUCAAUAUUCGUAGUCUUCAUCGAUUAUGUUGUUCUUUGAGCAAAUUAUAGUGUUUCAGGCAGGCGUGCGCCGGAAUACAUUAGCAUGGUAUAAACGAAUUUGGACCGUGUGCCCGUAACUGGGCUUCUCCUUAUUGUUGGUUUGAAGGACACGGAGAUGGUUAAUAGGGACAGCGUUUAUUUCACAAGGAGGC
rnacentral:rRNA from 1 species